ensembl:lncRNA
AUUUGCUCAUGUCUCAUUCCUCACAUUUAAAAACUCCCUUGUAGAAGCAAACUGGAAGGAUGAGGAAUACAAGGUCUGAAUUCAAAGUCAGGGCCCUCGUUACAGCUGGGACAGAGUUAAUUUUCUUCAUAGCAUCUGGUAUGGUGCUAUGACAACACACCAAUGUUUUAUUUGUUUCUGAGCAGUGGUUGCACAGAGUCAAAAGGCAUUUCAGCUUCCCCUAUUGCCCUGCCAGUGAGGGGACUAAGGGUGGCACAAGAAGCUGAAAGAGGAUGGAACCAGGACAGCUGAUCUAAACUUUCCAAAGGGAUAUUCUAUACCAUGUGACAUAAUGUGAAAGAUAUAAAACUGAGGGCAGUCGGCCAGAGGGACAGUCGCUGCUCAGCAACUGGAUGGGCAUCAGUCAGUGGGUGUGUCUACAGCUGCUGUCAAAUCUCAGACAGAAAAAAAGAAUCACAAUCUACUGUAACUGAAAACAUACUUAUUUUUGCAUAGGGAGGAGUGCUACUGCCUUUUUCAAAGCAUAAGACUUAAAAAAAAAAAAAAUCUUAUUUUAUUUUAUUGACUGACAUGUAAAGAAAACAUCCAAAUCCUUAAUUUUUCUUCCUGCACGAGUGCCACAAAGUCUGGAGGGGGGUGUUAGAUCAAGUGCAUAGUGUAAUACCUUGCAUUUCCAACUCCUUUAUUAGCUCUGUAUAUUUAUAUAUACAUAUUAUAUAUGCAUAUAUAGAGAGAAAUAUAUACUUCAUGCUUGUUUCUAAAGAAACAUUCUCAUGAUUAGGUGUCAUCUGCCUUUAACGUUACUCAAAGGUAGUCAUUUGGCAUCUGGCUGACCUGAGCCCAGCCUUGGAAAGUAUAAGCUGCAUUACCUUAUCCAUCAAUAUGACCCAAACUAAUUACUCUAUCACUUAUCAUGAAAAUUAUCUUAAAACAAUCGCCUUUCAUUUUUUAGAAUAUUUUAAUUUGAUUAACUAAUACUAUUCCAAAAUAAAAAAUAAAGGUUCUGGUUUAUUGUAAAUGCUGCAAGUGCUCUUCCUCUGGCUAUAGCACUUUUUUAAUGCCUUUGCUAAUGGAUACAAUACAGUGUGUUUUAGAUGUGAGAUUUAUACUUAAUUGGCAUGUUUUAUUUUCCACAUGUUCUGCAAAAGCUGUCAAAAGCUGAGACUAUGCUUUUGCUAAGGAAUUAAUCAUCAUUAAACACUAAACCAAAAGUAUGUAAAGUAACUUGUCAGAAAUUAACAAGCUCUGUAGAUUCAGCAGGCUCAUCUCAGAAUAAGUGUGUAGGACAUCUUCAAUGGCCACAUUGUUAUAAAUGUAGUCAAAUUCCAAUGCACAGUCUAUGAUUGAUUCUUUUUAGAAAUGUAUUCGAUUGACUAAAGUCUCUUGCCCAUGAGAUUGCCAGAAAUUAGACAGCUGACAAAUGAGUUAAGAAUUAACUUUUUUUAUAAUAUGCUCAAAUUAAUAUAUAGUUGUCAUGUUCAUAAAAUCCAUUAACUUUAGUACAUAGUGUAGUUCAUCAUGGAGCAUUUGCAGAUUUGCUCAUUGUGUGGUCCUUGUCCAACACGCAUUCUGAUGGUGAUCAGAUAUUUCAGAGCAAUUGUAACAUUGUCUGCCAAAAUAAGUAAAUAAGUAAAUAAAUAAAUAAAUAAAUAAAUAAAUAAAUAAAUAAAGUAAAAAAGCUUCAAGAAAAUUGCAUUACUUGUCUACAGAAUACUAUUACAUUUCUCAGGCUGCCAGUCAUUCUUUCCUAGUCAAACACACACAAAUCUCAUAUUUAGCUGAACUGAAUGCUCCAUUUACAGUAAACAUUGAAUAGAUCACAUUAUUUCCAGGCCAUGAAGAAAGUAUGUACUUAGCCAUUUUUUUUAAUGGAAAAACCUUGGAUAGUGAUUUCCUUAAAAAAUUAGGACUAUGUGUUUAGAAGACAGAGAAUUAACAGAUAUAGAACAAAAUAUCUGUAACUCUGAUGAGUAGAAAAUCAGAGAAGUAGUCCUAAAACCACAUAAGCAGACAAUGAAUUGCAAUCUCCUAGGGGAAGCAGGGGCAGCCAAGAGAAAGAGCUACCAUAUAAGGGUGAGAGUUGACACUGAACAUCGAAGAGAGUUCUACAGUAUGUAGAAGCAAGACAUGAAUAGUAGCUGACAGAGCCUGGAGUUUUGAAAGUGCUGUUUAUCCAGCGGGCAGCUCAGCGCUACAGAACUGUUUCCUGCUGGAGAGAGAAUCAGAAUAAAAAAAACAACAAAGUAGAACACUUGGGUUCAGAUAAAAACUAUUUACUAAGGCAGAAAAUGAAGAGAAAUUGAAAAUAAUGAUAGUAAUGAUAGUAAUAUAUAUAUGUAUAACACAAAUGAUGCACAGCACAAUUACUCACCACCUACCAAUCAAUGCCCAGACAGCCAACUCCUCAUUGUUUUACAAACUUUUUUUUUUUUUUUUUUUUUUUUUUGUAUGAUGCUAUCUGUUAUGUAAUAUCUCUUUGGCAAGUUCAGAUCUGUCCUGGUUCUGUCUCCUGCCAGCUUUCUGUGCCCCAUCAGCUCCCCUUGCUGGCAGAACAGUACAAGAUACUGAAACAUCCUUGGCUCUAUGUAGCCACUCCUCAGCAACAACUGAAGUAUUGGUCUGCUAUAGAUGUUGUUUCUCUCCCAAAGCCAAAACAUCACAUCAUACCAGGCACAAUAAAUAGAAGAAAAAAGAAAAAGAAAAAAAAAAAAUCAACUCUGUCCCAGCUGAAACCAGGACAGAAGGGCAUGGACCUGAUUACUACACAGUGAGAAAAAAUAAAAGCAGAUUUUAUCUAGACCACUAUGUGCCUGGAUAUGUUUAUCUAUGUAUUAGAUAUAAUAAAAUGUAAGCAGAACCCUAUGAAACACCAGCUUAUGCAUAAUGUUUAUUAUUUCAAAUUUGCUUCUGAAAAGUUAACUCGUGUGAGGCAAAACUUAGAGUCAAGGGGUUUGCAAACUACAGGGGUUGUUGCCAGUCUGGAUGCCAGCAACUGAGUCAUGGGUUGUCAGAUCUCAGGCAAGUUGCCUCUAAGGAUUUGGCUCCUGUCCUUGGCAAAGGGCUGUGGACACAGUGAAAUUUGAUUCAAGAACAGUCACAAAAACCUCAAAAGUGUCUAACCAGAACCAACUUGGCUAUGGUUCUAACAGAGUAUUAAUAUCCUCAAGUGACUGAACAAGUAGCGCUGAGGGAGAAAAAAUAAAGGCAGUCUCAUAAGCCAAAGUAAAAACUUGGGGUAGUCUCAGAGAUUAAUACAGUGGCUGACCUUUAAUAUGUCAUUAAAUCAAUCUUCAAGAAAUCAAUUCUCAUUGAAAUCACAUUAAUCUAGCCUUCUAUUCAUCCUACUCUGAGCAACAAUCUUAUUUGCUGCUGUUCUCGGUGUUCUCUGGUGUAACACUUCUUUUGCUUAUUCUGUACAUCUCUUGAUAUAAAUGAGUUUCCCUGUGUAUGUGCACUUUCAAACUCAAGGCUAAUAAGGCAACUGCUUAUUUAAUAGAGACAAUUGCAGUAACUCUUCUCCCUAGAUGUUCUGUGAUGUAUUUCAUGAGGCAUUUAGGGGAGCAGGUAAGUUCAAAUGUCCUCAAUCACAUAUAUGACAUGUAGUUCCCAGUUUUCGUUCAUCAAGACUCCAGAGAAAGAGUGAAGUAUUGUUUGUUUUUUUUUUUCCCUCCAGAUCCAGAGGGCUUAGUAUCUUGUGAUGAUUUCAUGAAAUUGUACUAAAAGAAAGAGAAAAAAGCACAGGUCAAAAUUUUAUUGGCAUAAUAGAUUGUCACUUGGGACUGAUGUCUAGUAGACACGAGGUGUAAAAUUUUACACUGUUAAACACCUCUGUGCCAGGAAAGACCAUGGAGCAGAUCCUCCUGGAAGCUAUGCCAUGGUACAUGGAAAAAGGAGGUAAUAUGGGAGAACCUGCAUAGAUUCACCAGGGGCAAAUACUGUUGCAUCUACCUAGUGGCCUUUUAUGGUGAUGUCACUGCAUCAAUGGUCCAGGGAAGAGCCACUGAUAUCAUCUAUCUGGACUUCAGUAAUGCUUUGAAAUGGUACCCCACAAUAUCUUUCUCUCCAAAUUGGAAAGAUAUGGAUUUAAUGGGUGGACAGCCCAAUGGAGGAAGAACUGGAUGUAGGAUUGAGUCCAGAGAGUGGUGAUCACUGGCUCAAUAUCUGGAUGGAGAUCAGUGAUGAGUGAUAUCCCACAAGGGUCAGUACUGGGACUGACACUCUUUAAUAUCAUCAUCAUGUGGUUCGAGUGCACCCUCAGCAAAUGUGCAGAUGACACCAACCUAUGGGGUGCAGUGAAUGCACCAGAGGGAUGAGAUGUCAUCCAGAGGGACCUAGACAGGCUUGAGCAGUGGGCGUAGGUGAACCUCACCAGGUUCAACAAAUCCAAAUUAAAGAUCUUGCACGUGCGUUGAGGCAACCCUCACUACCAAUACAAGCUGGGGGAUGAAAGAACUGAAUGCAGGGCUGCCAAAAAAGACCUGGGGGUAAUGGUGGAUGGCAGGCCGGACAUGAACCAGCAAUGUGCCCUCACAGCCCAGAAAGUCAACAGUAUCCUGGGCUGCAUCAAAAGAAGCGUGGACAGCAGAUCGAGGGAGGUGAUCCUGCCCCUCCACUCUGCACUGGUGAGGUCUCACCUGGAGUUCUGUGUCCAGAUGUGGAGUCCUCAGUACAGGAGGAGUACAACAUAGACCUGUUGGGGCGUGUCCAGAAGAGGGCCGCAAGAAUGAUCCAAGGGAUGGAACACUUCUCCUGUGAGGACAAGUUGAGAGAGCUGGGGCUGUUCAGCCUGCAGAAGAGAAGGCUCUGAGGUGGCCUUCAGCAUCUACAGGAGACUUACAGGAAAGAAGGGGACAGACUCUUUAAUAGGGUUUGUGGUGAUAGAACAAGGGGAAAUGGCUUCAAGCUUGAAGAGGGUAGAUUUAGGUUGGAUAUAAGGAAAACUCUUUUCCAGUGAGGGUGGUGAAGCACUGGCACAGGUUGCCCAGAGAUAUGGUUGAUGUCCAGUCCCUGGCAACUUUCAGGGUCAGACUGGAUCAGGCCCUGGACAACCUGACCUAGCUGUGGAUGUCCCUGUUUACUGCAGGGGUGUUGGACUAGAUGACCUUUAGAGGUCCCUUCCAACUCCAAGGAUUCUUUGAUUCUAUUAUUCCAUAUUCUUUCCAGGUUUUUUGAUAUUAAAGAAAGUUACGUGUUAUAACAGCCUGAGGGCAUAUUCCCCAAAGAAUUUUCCCUAUUCUUUUAUACUGAAAAUGGUUUAUAACAGCAGAUGCCAAGCAGCUUAAGUCACCUUUAAACUCUGCAACAAUCUUGAUUCCCUAAAGCGGAAGAAUCAAUUUCAGUACUCCCCUUCAUAUUGCUUAUACCACAAGACUUGAUGUUGUAACUCUGCUGCCUGUACACUUAUGCCAGAAAUUGAACAAUUGUCUGCUAAUAAUACCUGGUCCAAGAGCUAAUGGGAUGUGUCACUCAGCAGUAUGGGACACAGGAUUGUUCCUGGCAUGCAUAGCAGCUGUUUCUAUGGAGGUUCAGGGUGUCAAGGCAAGACUUCUGAAACAACACAGCAAAAUGAAACACAAACCACUAACUUUUAAAAAUUGUGAAUUCUUGUCCAAAUCAGUAAAUAUAUUUAUAGGCCUCCAAGAACGGUCCAGUUAGUCCAUCUGAGUGAGAUGUGGGAAACCAAAUGUAAUCAUCUGCUGAGUGAAGACUGUAGACUGACAUCUUCGAAUAUCCCUGGCUUGGAGCUGAUAAAUGGAUGCAUUCCUUCAGCUCAUCUUGUUGGCUAUUCUCAGUUCCAGGUACCUGUUUGGAAGAGAAGAAGAACUACGGUCCCCAAGAGCCUUUUCGAGUACUGUUAUCAUUCCUGCUCAAGGGAACAGAUAUAAGGGCGCAGGUCAUCUGACUCGGCCCUCUUCUCAUCUUGCCGUGUUCCCUGCCGGAUCGGCUCGUUACUGCUGCUCCUGACUGCAUGCAAGGCUUCAGUAUUAGCGUGAGGCCUUUGGCUCUCGGACAAUCUUUCUCUCAAUUAUUGUUGAUUUAUAUUGUGUUAUAGUGUGUUAUCUUACAUUCCGAUACUAUAUUUAGUAAAUUAGUUUGUUUCUCCUCAGACCGUUGCCACUGUUUUUAAUUAUUUUGGGGUCCCCUUUUUCCCUUCCUGGAGGCAUGGAUUUUGCGAAGUCCCUCUGCCCCACUAGUCGCGGAACUGGGCUGGACCAACCCUUAAACCGUUGACACAUCAUAGGUCAAAAAAAUAAAAAAAAGAGACACUGCAUUCACAGUAGAUCUCAUAUAUUAAAACUGACAUAUAUUGAAUUUGGUCUAGUAUAUUUUAGGUCUAAACAUUUUAAGAAUAGAAACUGGAGGCAGCCGAUAGAAGACUGUGUUCAAUUGUAAUGAGAAAAUAAAUGUUGUUUUAACCACACCUAAUCUGGCAACCUAACAGCUAAAACACUGCUGCAGACUAGCACUAUAAUUUAAAAUUUUAAAAAGGUUAUUAAUAAUUUGAUAUAUGAAACACAGGUAUUUUACUGAAGAGGAAUGAAGAAAGAAUGAGGGACAGAAGGAAAGAAUAGAGGAAGAAACAGAAGGAGAUGACAUUCAGUGGGGAAUGAUUAUGAUGAGGUCCUUCCUUCUCCUUUCCAUGUUUCCCAGACUGACAACAUGAGGUAGUGGGCAAUUUUUGAAAUGUCACUGGACUCAGAUUUUAUUUUGUUUACUAUGAAGGAUAAUCAUUCAGAGAGCUGUGGUUUAGCACUGCACACUCAAAUCUAAGUAAUGUAUAUUUUUAGGGUUUCUAUGGCUCUUCUGAUCUUUGUUUCUUGAAAAGAUCCAUUUGCCUCAAGACUGUUCCUCUCCUGCCAACAUUAAUUAAAGGAAAAUAGGUAGGAAUUACCCUUGAGUUAAAAGGAAGUCUUUAAUAGCUCCAGGAAAGGUGAAAAUUGUUUUCAGGUAUUUUGAUUCAAUUAUUCUACCUAACAUUCAUUCUGUCUACAUAUAAUGAAAGGAUAAAUAACCAAGGAAUGAGACAGAGGCAAUUUGUGGGAAAAAAAAAAAAAAAAAAAAAGCCAACAGGAAUGAUCAAAGACAGCAAAUAUUGAAAAGGAAAAUAUACCUUUUUAAUUCUUCUAGUUCUCAGUCUUGUUUACCUUUCUUUUUUCAUCGUCAGUCUGCUUUAGUUUAUAUAUCACGUAUUGAUUGAUCUUGAGCUAGUAAGUGGAAUCAGAUCCACCCCCUCUCCUGAAUAUCUGUUAUACCAAAAGUCAUAUGCAAAACAGAAUAACUGUACCAUCUUCAAAAAGACUAUUAAAGGAGAAACCACUGCUUCACACUGAGUCAGUUUAAACAUCUGAUAACCAUUUCAGCUGAUGCACACACCCAGACAUAUCUCCUGAGGAGUGAGACAGCUGCCCAGACCUUUGGCUCUAGGGAACUCUUGAAUCUAGUGGCUACCCAUGGGACUGAGGAAGGUGAGGGGUAUCAUGGGUGCAGAUGUGCCCAACUGAAUGAUCUUCCUGAGCACGUGACCAGGCUGCAAGAGGAGGUCAUAGAAUCAUAGAAUCAUAGAAUGGCUUGGGUUGGAAAGGAUAAUCUUUGCGGCCCUCCUCUGGACCCUCUCCAUGUGCUCCACAUUUUUUCCUUUAUUGGGAGCCCCAGACCUGGAUGCAGUACUUCAGAUGAGGCCUCACAAGGGCAGAGUUGAAAGGGACAAUCAUUUCCCUGCCCCUCAUGGCUACCCCUCCCCUCAUGGAGCCAAGGAUACCACUGGUCUUUUGAGCUGCAAGAGCACACUGCUGGCUCAUGUUAUGCUUUUCAUCCAUGAGGACUCCCAAGUCCUUCUCCACAGGGCCACUCUCAGUGAGUUCUCCCAGUCUGGGCACAUAUCACGUAUCUGAGAUUACUCUGACCUAAGUGCAAAAUCUUGCACUUUGCUAUGGUGAACCUCAUUAGGUUCACAUGUGCCCACCUUUUGAGUUUGUUGACGUCCCUCUGGAUCAUGGCCCUUCCUUCUAACAUGUCAACUGUGCCACUCAGCUUGGUGGCAUUGGCAAACUUGCUGAGGGUGCACUUGAGCCCACCAUCGAUGUCACUGAUGAUGUUGAAGAACAGCAAUCCCAAGUGCAGUGAAUGCAGUGCCCAUGCUGUCCCACCGCACACGUAGAAACAGAGCAGAUUGAGUCAGGUGAGUAUGAUCUGGAUUGCCUACAGCCCAGUUGUGAGGAGCCAGGACCCGGGUCACAUCUGGGAUCCAAGUCUGUGUGGAUGGGCCUACUCUAGAAAGUGAAAAACAGUCUGAAGGGAAUCAGAUAAAGACUUCUCUGGAGAGCAGUCAUUUUUUUUUUUUUGUAUUUUAUUUAUCUGAUGGACAGUCCAGUGGGCCUUUGAUUUAAAUUCCUAUGUGCUUAAACAGUGAUAAAAGACUGAAAAUGCAGAGAAAAUUACUGUCCAGUGUCAUCUCCCUAAAUAAAAUUUGCUGUAAUCUUCAUACACUUUUUUUUCUUUCUGUGUUUUUUGUUUUUUGUUUUUUUUUUUUUUUGCAUAAAUAACAAGUUUGGAAAUUUUAAGAUACUUUUAUUUUCUCAAUGAUUUCAUUCUCUACUGCAGUUUUAUAUCUAUGUUUACCGAUGUUUCCACC